CUUGCUCCCUUUUGCCCCCAGAA
rnacentral:miRNA from 1 species